AAAAUCCACAGCCUUGAGCAUGUAACAAGAACCAUAGUCAAGAUUUGCAAAAUAAACUACUUACAUAUGCAUAUUAAAAAAUGCAAGAGCUGGCCCUCUCAAGCUAGUUUCUGGCCUAUCCUUAUGAAGUUAAGGACAUCAUUUUCAAAACAAUGGUUGUUUUUAUGAAGUCAGGGACAUCAUUUUCAAAACAAACGUACGUAUUAAAGCAGAAGAAGAAGAAGAAGA
rnacentral:misc_RNA from 1 species